rnacentral:rRNA from 1 species
UAGCAAUACUCUAGCGGCGAACGGGUGAGUAAUGCCUAGGAAUCUGCCUCGUAGUGGGGGACAACGUUUCGAAAGGAACGCUAAUACCGCAUACGUCCUACGGGAGAAAGUGGGGGAUCUUCGGACCUCACGCUAUGAGAUGAGCCUAGGUACGAUUAGCUAGUUGGUGGGGUAAAGGCUCACCAAGGCGACGAUCGUUAACUGGUCUGAGAGGAUGAUCAGUCACACUGGAACUGAGACACGGUCCAGACUCCUACGGGAGGCAGCAGUGGGGAAUAUUGGACAAUGGGGGAAACCCUGAUCCAGCCAUGCCGCGUGUGCGAAGAAGGCCUUCGGGUUGUAAAGCACUUUAAGCAGGGAGGAAGGUUUGCUGGAUAAUACCUGGCAAAAUUGACGUUACCUGCAGAAUAAGCACCGGCUAACUCUGUGCCAGCAGCCGCGGUAAUACAGAGGGUGCAAGCGUUAAUCGGAAUUACUGGGCGUAAAGCGCGCGUAGGCGGUUACGUAAGUUGGAGGUGAAAUCCCCGGGCUUAACCUGGGAACGGCCUCCAAAACUGCGUGGCUAGAGUAUGGGAGAGGGAGGUGGAAUUCCGGGUGUAGCGGUG